rnacentral:rRNA from 1 species
UCUACGGGAGGCAGCAGUAGGGAAUAUUGGGCAAUGGGCGAAAGCCUGACCCAGCGACGCCGCGUGAGGGAUGAAGGUCUUCGGAUUGUAAACCUCUUUCAGUAGGGAAGAAGCGAAAGUGACGGUACCUAAAGAAGAAGCACCGGCUAACUAUGUGCCAGCAGCCGCGGUAAUACAUAGGGUGCAAGCGUUGUCCGGAAUUAUUGGGCGUAAAGAGCUCGUAGGUCGUUUGUCGCGUCGAUUGUGAAAAUCUGAGGCUCAACCUCAGACCUGCAGUCGAUACGGGCAAACUAGAGUGUGGUAGGGGAGACUGGAAUUCCUGGUGUAGCGGUGGAAUGCGCAGAUAUCAGGAGGAACACCAAUGGCGAAGGCAGGUCUCUGGGCCAUAACUGACACUGAGGAGCGAAAGUGCGGGGAGCGAACAGGAUUAGAUACCCUGGUAGUCCGCACCGUAAACGGUGGGCACUAGUUGUGGGAACCUUCCACGGUUUCCGCGACGCAGCAAACGCAUUAAGUGCCCCGCCUGGGGAGUACGAUCGCAAGAUUAAAACUCAAAUGAAUUGACGG